CUGCGAGUUCGCGGGAGAGUAAGUUAUUGCCAGGGUUUUUAUUUUAUACUUUAAACAUUGAUUUUAUUUUUUAUGUUUUUAGAUGUUCAUGUUUUUGAAUGUUUUAUUUAAAUAAUAUAAAAAAUAAAAUAUAUAUUGACAUGGAUUAAACAAAGAUAUAUAUUAUUCUAUGUUGCAUAAGCAAAUUGGCAAAAUAGAGAUGGAAGAUAAAAAUAUGGCCAAGGGUAG
rnacentral:misc_RNA from 1 species